rnacentral:rRNA from 1 species
UACGGAGGAUGCAAGCGUUAUCCGGAUUUAUUGGGCGUAAAGCGUCCGCAGGUGGCUAUUCAAGUCUGCUGUCAAAGCUCGGAACUUAACUCCGAAUCGGCGGUGGAAACUGAACAGCUAGAGUGCAGUAGGGGUAGAGGGAAUUCCCAGUGUAGCGGUGAAAUGCGUAGAGAUUGGGAAGAACACCGGUGGCGAAAGCGCUCUACUGGACUGCAACUGACACUCAGGGACGAAAGCUAGGGGAGCGAAUGGG